GAUGAACGCUGGCGGCGUGCCUAAUACAUGCAAGUCGAGCGAACAGACGAGGAGCUUGCUCCUCUGAUGUUAGCGGCGGACGGGUGAGUAACACGUGGAUAACCUACCUAUAAGACUGGGAUAACUUCGGGAAACCGGAGCUAAUACCGGAUAACAUGUUGAACCGCAUGGUUCAACAGUGAAAGACGGUCUUGCUGUCACUUAUAGAUGGAUCCGCGCCGCAUUAGCUAGUUGGUAAGGUAACGGCUUACCAAGGCAACGAUGCGUAGCCGACCUGAGAGGGUGAUCGGCCACACUGGAACUGAGACACGGUCCAGACUCCUACGGGAGGCAGCAGUAGGGAAUCUUCCGCAAUGGGCGAAAGCCUGACGGAGCAAUGCCGCGUGAGUGAAGAAGGUCUUCGGAUCGUAAAACUCUGUUAUUAGGGAAGAACAAAUGUGUAAGUAACUAUGCACGUCUUGACGGUACCUAAUCAGAAAGCCACGGCUAACUACGUG
rnacentral:rRNA from 1 species